GUCUAAAAAAAUAAAAGCAAUGUAGUAAUAAAAUGACUCCUAAUGAUGUUCUGCCAUACUCGUAGGCUAGUGCCUUGUUCAGCCAUCAGAGCUUCCUCCUGCAUCACAUGGGAACAAAUACAGAGACACACGGCCAGGCAUAAUGCAGACAGUGACAAACCUUGGAACACUCAGCUGUGAGAUGUCUCUUCCAUUUAAUCCCUCCCCUCAGAGCCUAGGGAACCAUGUUGUUGUAAAAAAAAUAAUAAAAAUAAAAAAAUAAAAAUGAAACGGUAAAUGUUUUUCCCUGGGUGUUUUACCCUGCUUGGGUUCCACACCUCAGUGUCCCAGAUAUCUGCUGGAUAUCUUGGCGGAAACACAGCCCAGCCACACACUUUCUUACACUGAGACUCUUACAUAUAAAAACACACCACACAAUAAUCUUAGAUCCAAUUGGUAAGAUAUAAUUGCCCACUUAAACAUACAAAGCCAGGUACCAUCUAUCCCUUGCACCUUUUAUUUACCAAGUCUCCAGCUUCUCCUUCUCCCACAACGACUCCUUGCUUCUCCUCUCUCUCUCUCUUUUCUUUACUCACUCUCCCAAAUAUAUCAACUCUUUUAUGUUUUAGUUUCUCCUUCUCUUGCAACGACUCCUAGCUUCUCCCCUCUCUCCAUCUCCUGUCUCCUCUAACUCUUCUCGGUUCCCCAUCGUGUUUCUAAACUGUCUUUACUCACUCUCCCAAAUAUAUCAACCCUUUCAUGCUUUAGUUUCUCUUUCUCUUACGACUCCUAGCUUCUCCCCUCUCUCCAUCUCCUGUCUCUUCUAACUCUUCUCAGUUCCCCAUCCUGUCUCUCAACCGUUCCCUUCUCCUCCUCAGCUUCCUUCUCUUCCCCUCACACUCUCAACUGUUCCAUCCUCUCCCCCCCCCCCUUCAGGUUCCACUGGCUCAACUGUCGCCAACUGUCCUCUCUAACCCUAUUCUCUGAAUCUAAUCCCCCUCUUGCUCCUGACUUUUCCCUCUGUCCAAAUCUCACGCUCUUGCCUUUAUUUAACAAAUUCAGAGAAAAUUUUAAGGCAAACCACAACAUUUCCCCCUUUUUGUCCAGUUAAAAAACCUUUUCCCUAUACAUAGGUGAACUAAGCAUUAUUACCAUUCUGCAAUUUAUAAAACCAACAGUAUGCUGAUCACCCAGUCCAUCAAUUCUGUUCAUUAACCAUGUUAUCUAUAUUAUAUCUUGGCAAGCUUGUAUACUAUCUGAUAACUAUCCAAUAAAAUAUGUAUAUUCAGAUUUAUACAGCCUGAUAGGUUAUGAGACUAUAAUCAGUCUUCAACCCCGUCAGAAAUCUGGGAAUGACCAAAUAUCUAUACACAUAGGAAGCCUAACAUGGCUUCCAGAACUGAGAGGUUGUAGAGACAAAUCUCCACUAGCACAGUCCCCUGUUAGCAACAUGUGAGCACAAGUCUUCAGCCUUCUGGCCCAAAAUCAACUGACAGACUCUUGAAAUGCAGAUUUUGAAGGACUGAUCACCCUGUCUUGGCAGAGUUUAUUAGUCAAACACCAGAAUGGGUAGAGGACACCAAGAAAACAAGCCAUUAGAUCAAUACCUGUUUCUGUUCAUGAGCGGAGUGUUAGCCUGACUCUCUAUCCACCAUUUCCCUCGCUACAGGAGCUGGGAACUGCAGUAAGUUGAGAAAUUUUCCUCUUGCCGUGUCUUCCACCCAACAGAGAUGAGCUUUUCAGAGAUGUGUGCUUCUUAGUCCCAAAGGUGCACGAUGUCUUGAUCUGAAUGGGGGAAAAGUCAGAAAAUUCUCUUCCAGAGCAGCUGGCCCUCGAUUGCCUGGUGAUAGAUUUUAAACCCACAGAGGUGCACAUUAUUUUCUUCCACUUGACCCAGGAACUGGUUCAGCUUUAAAGGGAACUGGGAGGCACUUGCCACAGGAAAACAGAUCUGCUGAGUGUCUGCCGCACUCCCAAACCCCUCCACUGUGCCUUCCACGCCCUAUGUUACAAAGGAAGUGCGUGUGAUCCCAGCGCUUAGAGGUUUUGGCAGGGAGAUUACCGAGGAAGGCAGGCCCACCAUCUCCUGGUCCUGUAUGUGACCAGUUUUCAUUCUGCUUCGUGGUGUAUCUCGGGGGUGCCCAGUGGAGUCAGAGUUAUCUACCUCUGGAGCUGGGACCUAGUCUCCUAAGUUCUGCUUUGGCUUUCAGGACCUCUCUCUCCAACAAUAGUUAUUCUUGACAGUUUUCAUAAUAAAAUAAAUCGAAAAGACGGAA